UGGCAAGGAGGAUAUUAUUGUAAAUGAAACAACAUGAUUGCUUUAUACGCUAUUCUGAGCCAGUU